rnacentral:rRNA from 1 species
AGUGAACGCUGGCGGUAGGCCUAACACAUGCAAGUCGAACGGCAGCACAGUAAGAGCUUGCUCUUACGGGUGGCGAGUGGCGGACGGGUGAGGAAUACAUCGGAAUCUACUUUUUCGUGGGGGAUAACGUAGGGAAACUUACGCUAAUACCGCAUACGACCUACGGGUGAAAGCAGGGGAUCUUCGGACCUUGCGCGAUUGAAUGAGCCGAUGUCGGAUUAGCUAGUUGGCGGGGUAAAGGCCCACCAAGGCGACGAUCCGUAGCUGGUCUGAGAGGAUGAUCAGCCACACUGGAACUGAGACACGGUCCAGACUCCUACGGGAGGCAGCAGUGGGGAAUAUUGGACAAUGGGCGCAAGCCUGAUCCAGCCAUACCGCGUGGGUGAAGAAGGCCUUCGGGUUGUAAAGCCCUUUUGUCGGGAAAGAAAAGCAGCAGGUUAAUACCCCGCUGUUCUGACGGUACCCGAAGAAUAAGCACCGGCUAACUUCGUG